GGGCCCUGCCGCGUGCCUAUAAUGCAAGUCGAGCGCGGGAAGCGAGUGGAUCCCUUCGGGGUGAAGCUCGUGGAACGAGCGGCGGACGGGUGAGUAACACGUGGGCAACCUGCCUGUAAGAUCGGAAUAACCCCGGGAAACCGGGGCUAAUGCCGGGUAAUACUUUCUUUCGCAUGAAGGAAAGUUGAAAGAUGGCUUCUUGCUAUCACUUACAGAUGGGCCCGCGGCGCAUUAGCUAGUUGGUGAGGUAACGGCUCACCAAGGCGACGAUGCGUAGCCGACCUGAGAGGGUGAUCGGCCACACUGGGACUGAGACACGGCCCAGACUCCUACGGGAGGCAGCAGUAGGGAAUCUUCCGCAAUGGACGAAAGUCUGACGGAGCAACGCCGCGUGAACGAUGAAGGUCUUCGGAUCGUAAAGUUCUGUUGUUAGGGAAGAACAAGUACCGUGCGAAUAGAGCGGUACCUUGACGGUACCUAACGAGGAAGCCCCGGCUAACUACGUGCCAGCAGCCGCGGUAAUACGUAGGGGGCAAGCGUUGUCCGGAAUUAUUGGGCGUAAAGCGCGCGCAGGCGGUUCCUUAAGUCUGAUGUGAAAGCCCACGGCUCAACCGUGGAGGGUCAUUGGAAACUGGGGAACUUGAGGACAGAAGAGGAGAGUGGAAUUCCACGUGUAGCGGUGAAAUGCGUAGAUAUGUGGAGGAACACCAGUGGCGAAGGCGACUCUCUGGUCUGUUUCUGACGCUGAGGUGCGAAAGCGUGGGUAGCAAACAGGAUUAGAUACCCUGGUAGUCCACGCCGUAAACGAUGAGUGCUAGGUGUUAGGGGGCUUCCACCCCUUAGUGCUGAAGUUAACGCAUUAAGCACUCCGCCUGGGGAGUACGGCCGCAAGGCUGAAACUCAAAGGAAUUGACGGGGGCCCGCACAAGCGGUGGAGCAUGUGGGUUUAAUUCGAAGCAACGCGAAGAACCUUACCAGGUCUUGACAUCCUUGGACAAUCCUAGAGAUAGGACUUUCCCUUCGGGGACCAAGUGACAGGUGGUGCAUGGUUGUCGUCAGCUCGUGC
rnacentral:rRNA from 1 species